GACGAACGCUGGCGGCGUGCCUAAUACAUGCAAGUAGAACGCUGAAGGAGGAGCUUGCUUCUCUGGAUGAGUUGCGAACGGGUGAGUAACGCGUAGGUAACCUGCCUGGUAGCGGGGGAUAACUAUUGGAAACGAUAGCUAAUACCGCAUAAGAGUAGAUGUUGCAUGACAUUUGCUUAAAAGGUGCAAUUGCAUCACUACCAGAUGGUCCUGCGUUGUAUUAGCUAGUUGGUGGGGUAACGGCUCACCAAGGCGACGAUACAUAGCCGACCUGAGAGGGGGAUCGGCCAACCUGGGACUGGAACACGGCCCAGGACUCUUAGGGAGGGAGCAGGAGGGAAUCUUCGGGAAUGGACGGAAGGCUGACCGGGGAACGCCGGGGGAGUGAAGAAGGGUUUCGGAUCGGAAAGCUCUGUUGUAAGGGAAGAAAGAGUGUGGGAGUGGAAAGUUCACGCUGUGACGGUACCUAACCAGAAAGGGACGGCUAACUACGUG
rnacentral:rRNA from 1 species